rnacentral:rRNA from 1 species
UACGUAGGUGGCAAGCGUUGUCCGGAUUUACUGGGCGUAAAGAGCGCGCAGGCGGUCGUUCAAGUCGCGUGUGAAAGCCCCCGGCUCAACUGGGGAGGGUCACGCGAUACUGAUCGACUCGAAGGCAGGAGAGGGUAGUGGAAUUCCCGGUGUAGUGGUGAAAUGCGUAGAUAUCGGGAGGAACACCGGUGGCGAAGGCGGUUCUCUGGGCCUUACCUGACGCUGAGGAGCGAAAGCGUAGGGAGCAAACAGG